GCAGAGUAGCUGGAGGGUGGAUUGUCGCCAGAGGAGCGCCAGGGGCUGCGAAAGGCUGCAGGUGACGCCCUAGUUUGCAGUAAUGAAAAAGGACAGAGCAGGAGUUCCUGUUGUGGCUCAGCAGGUUAAGAACCGGACUAGUAGCCAUGAGGAUGUGGUUUUGAUCCCCACCUUGCUCAGUGGGUUAAGGAUCUGGGGUUGCCACAAACUGCGGUGUAGGUUGAAGAUGUGACUCGGAUCCCAGUGUCGCCAUGGCUGUGGUGUAGGCUGGCAGCUGCAGCUCAGAUUUGACCUCCGGCCUGGGAACUUCCAAAGGCUGCAGGUGUGGCCAUAAAAAGAAAAAAAAAAAAAAAAAGGACAGAGCAGAGACUGUGCCAGCACUGCCCACCCGGCCCGGGGAAGAUUCUCUGUGCUGCUCGGCCUCUGACCGCAUCCUUCAUCCCUCGCUGCUGACCUCACCACCCAGACCUUUGGCCAGAAGGGGGAGUCCCCUGGGAGAGGGUCAUUGCCGGUUCACCCCACGGCAAGGACAAGCCCCCCCGCCCCCAAUGUGGGGACACUGGAGGUCAGGAGAGCAGCUCAGUCCUCUCUCCACUGUGAUUCAGGCAUCAGUGCCCUUGGCACUGGGAGACCCAACAGCCCAUGGAAGGAAGGCGCCCUUAGCCUUGGACCCUGCAGAGCGAGUCUGCUCCUGGCCCCCCGAGACCUUGAGGCUUGUCCUGAAGGGCCAGUUUCCUGGUGGUGAGCAAAGCUUUUCUGGAGUGUUCGCAAACCUAAAGCCAUCUGUUCCCUUGGGUCUUCCUUCUGCCUGUGCUCCCCUGGUUAGUCUCUAAAUCAGGAAGUCAAUACUGACCUCUUAGAGCAGGGGGAGGGUUAAAUGAGAAACAGGCACAAACAUGCUGGCAGAGGAGGAGUGCCUGGCACAGGCAGCUGUCGGCAUCAGGCUCUGGGUACAAGAUCCAUUUCUUGGGGGUGGUGUCAGAUGGUGCAGUAGGAGGCCCAGCCUUUGUCCUUCUGCAGAAACAAUGACUGGCAGCCGUCCACAGACACGGUGCCUCGUGGGGUCUGGGGACCCAGGUAGGAGGUUGUGAAGCCCCGGUGGAGCCCAGGACCAAGGAGAGCUGCCCUGGAGGCAGGCCCUCCCUGGGAGGCAGCCCGCUGGCUGUGGUGUGGCCAGGCUGCAGAUCUGAACGCAGGCCCACCCCCACCCCUCAACCGUGGACUCAGCUCCAGACCUGCUUGUUUGUGGUCUUCCACCGGCUCUAGCUGCCAAGGGACCUGGGAACAGGCACACUGACCGUGGACCCAGUGGGGGGCCCGGAAGCACCCUUGACCUGCUCAGCUGUGGUCCCAGAGGGAGCAUCACCAGCCCAGGGACCCAGCAGCAACCAUACCCGCCCAUGCCCAGGACCCAACCACAGACCAGGCAGCAGCCACGUGACCCAGCUCUGGCCCUGCUGGACCCAUCCCGGAGGCAGCCCCGUGGGCCCAGGACAAGGCAGGAGAAGGUCUGCACCUGCAGAAACCAGUCGUGCACAGAAGCCAGCAGAGGCCUGCAUGGACCACAAAGAACCAGGCACACCUGACACCCCCAGAGNGAACUAAUAAUAAAACACCAGUAACUGACCUUAAACUAAAGCAGGUCCAUGAACCACUUCACAAUAAACUCAAAAUAAUCAUCUUGGGAGUUCGUUCCCCUUGUGGCUCAGCAGUAACGAACCCAACUAGUAUCCAUGAGGACAUAGGUUUGAUCCCUGGCCUCACUCAGUGGAGUAAGGAUCUGGCGUUGCCGUGAGCUGCGCGAUGUAGGUUGCAAAUGUGGCUUGGAUCUGGUGUUGCUGUGGCUGUGGCCGGCGGCUACAGGUCUGAUUUGACCCCUAGCCUGGAAACUUAUAUAUGCUGUGGGGGCUGCCCUAAAAAAAAGACCAAAAAAAAAAAUUUAAAAAAUAACCAUCUUUAGGAGUUCCCUGGUAGCCUAGUGGUUAAGGAUCCUGUGUUGUCACUGCUGUGGCUCAGGUUCAAUCCCUGGCCUGGGAACUUCUGCAUGCUACAGGUGUGGCCAAAAAAAAAAAAA
rnacentral:lncRNA from 1 species